CACAUUAUUAAUAAUAUUUACGUACAAUAAUUGCAAGGCAUUUCACACUAUGUCUUACCUCUGUACAUGCGCAAUAGUGCUUCAUUAGCAUAGUCUAACAAUGGCCGCAAAACGAUUUGUACUGUUUCUAUUACUUGCGAGCAGUUUGUUCCUAGAAGACACUCUUUCUAAACCAGGGAGGAAGAAAGGCAAACCAUCCAAGGACAAACAAAACAAUGAUGACUGCAAAGGCAAGAAAUGCUCCUAACCAAAGAAAUGCUCUGUUGGUUAGUGGUAGCAUCCGGUUUGUGUAUAUAGUAUCUCUACCAACUGUGUAUGUCUUAAACACAUGUGUUACAUAAUCUAUAGAAUACACCUCCGAACAGAUACAAAACCAAUUGGCUCUGACUCCUCGGUUUACAAACAUACGUCGCUAUUCUUUUGAGAACUAUCGCAGCACAGAAGAGGUAAUUAUAGAAAAGGGCAACAGGACUGCCGGAUCACACAUCUACUACCUAAUCCACGCGAGCUCUCCACUUGAUCUGUACCACCAGCUGUUGUCCGACCAAGUACGGUACUUCUACAUGGGAGAUCCCGUCAAGAUUCUCGAAUUGAACAACAACGUAUCCUGUCAUAUUGUUGAGACCGUAUUGGAAGACGAUAUCUUGGCUGGUCAAAACGUCAUGCAUGUACUGGAGAGGAAUACUUGGAUGACAGCGCUGAGAAUCGAAGGUGGCCCGUGUGGAUGGAGUCUGAUUGGAAUGAAUGUGAGCCCUGGCUUCGAGUUCGAAGAUUUGCAAAUGGUUAAUAGAACGGAGUUGAUUUCGUUGUUUCCUGAGGCAGAGCAAAGUAUCAUUCGUCUGACAGAAAACAAUGGAUAAAUUCGAUUGACUGAAGAGCAUGUAUAUGGCCACGUAUAUAUAUAGACGAGUUUGCUUUUGCUUUUAAAUCUUUUGUGAUUUCCAGACGAGUUGUAUAACUGCUUCUGCUAUGCAAAUUGCAAAACGUUGUUGUAACACAUUUAGCAAUUCUCUGAUUUGGUGGUUUCAUCGUAAUAAAUAAUCA